rnacentral:lncRNA from 12 species
CUGAGAGCCUCCUCUAUCCUGCUGUCUCACUGGAGCUAAUGGUAGCUGAACUGUAUGACAUUAUAAGAUCCCAGCAGUUACUGUCAGCAGUUACCUGCUCACAGGUGCUGCAGAAUACCCAG